AUUGAACGCUGGCGGCAUGCUUUACACAUGCAAGUCGAACGGUAACAGGCCGCAAGGUGCUGACGAGUGGCGAACGGGUGAGUAAUGCAUCGGAACGUGCCCAGUCGUGGGGGAUAACGCAGCGAAAGCUGCGCUAAUACCGCAUACGAUCUAUGGAUGAAAGCGGGGGACCGUAAGGCCUCGCGCGAUUGGAGCGGCCGAUGUCAGAUUAGGUAGUUGGUGGGGUAAAGGCUCACCAAGCCAACGAUCUGUAGCUGGUCUGAGAGGACGACCAGCCAAAGUGGGACUGAGACACGGCCCAGACUCCUACGGGAGGCAGCAGUGGGGAAUUUUGGACAACGGGCGCAAGCCUGAUCCAGCAAUGCCGCGUGCAGGAAGAAGGCCUUCGGGUUGUAAACUGCUUUUGUACGGAACGAAACGGCUCUGGUUAAUACCUGGGGCUAAUGACGGUACCGUAAGAAUAAGCACCGGCUAACUACGUGCCAGCCGCCGCCGUAACAC
rnacentral:rRNA from 1 species